rnacentral:rRNA from 1 species
GACGAACGCUGGCGGCGUGCCUAAUACAUGCGAGUCGAACGCAUUUUCUUUCACCGUAGCUUGCUACACCGAAAGAAAAUGAGUGGCGAACGGGUGAGUAACACGUGGGUAACCUGCCCAUCAGCGGGGGAUAACACUUGGAAACAGGUGCUAAUACCGCAUAAUUCCAUUUACCGCAUGGUAGAUGGGUGAAAGGCGCUUUUGCGUCACUGAUGGAUGGACCCGCGGUGCAUUAGCUAGUUGGUGGGGUAACGGCCUACCAAGGCUGCGAUGCAUAGCCGACCUGGGAGGGUGAUCGGCCACACUGGGACUGAGACACGGCCCAGACUCCUACGGGAGGCAGCAGGAGGGAAUCUUCGGCAAUGGACGCAAGUCUGACCGAGCAACGCCGCGUGAGUGAAGAAGGUUUUCGGAUCGUAAAACUCUGUUGUUAGAGAAGAACAAGGAUGAGAGUGGAAAGUUCAUCCCUUGACGGUAUCUAACCAGAAAGCCACGGCUAACUACGUG